CGCCUGUUUAACAAAAACAUGUCUUCUUGCUAUAUUUAGGAAGUCUGGCCUGCCCAGUGAAAAUAAUUUAACGGCCGCGGUAUACUGACCGUGCAAAGGUAGCAUAAUCAUUAGUCUUUUAAUAGAGGGCUGGUAUGAAGGGUUUAACGAGGUGUUGACUGUCUCAUUUAAUUUGAAUUUAGAAUUUAAUUUUUUAGUUAAAAAGCUAAAAUAUUAUUGGAAGACGAGAAGACCCUAUAGAGCUUUAUAUUUUUAUUAUUAAUUUAUUUUAGUUUAUUAUUAUUUAUUAUUAAUAGAAAAUAUUUUGUUGGGGUGACAAAAAUAUAUAAAUAACUUUUUCAUUUAUUUUACAUUGAUAUAUGAAUAUUAGAUCCAAUCUUAUUGAUUGUUAGAUUAAGUUACCUUAGGGAUAACAGCG
rnacentral:rRNA from 1 species